UACGAAGGGGGCUAGCGUUGUUCGGAAUUACUGGGCGUAAAGGGCGCGUAGGCGGUGUGUCAAGUCAGGCGUGAAAGCCCCGGGCUCAACCUGGGAACCGCGCUUGAGACUGGCACGCUAGAGUUCGGGAGAGGAUGGUGGAAUUCCCAGUGUAGAGGUGAAAUUCGUAGAUAUUGGGAAGAACACCGAUGGCGAAGGCAGCCAUCUGGACCGACACUGACGCUGAGGCGCGAAAGCGUGGGGAGCGAACGGG
rnacentral:rRNA from 1 species